rnacentral:rRNA from 1 species
AUUGAACGCUGGCGGCAGGCUUAACACAUGCAAGUCGAGCGGGGGAAUAUAGCUUGCUAUAUGACCUAGCGGCGGACGGGUGAGUAAAGCUUAGGAAUCUGCCUAUUAGUGGGGGACAACAUUUCGAAAGGGAUGCUAAUACCGCAUACGUCCUACGGGAGAAAGCAGGGGAUCUUCGGACCUUGCGCUAAUAGAUGAGCCUAAGUCGGAUUAGCUAGUUGGUGGGGUAAAGGCCUACCAAGGCGACGAUCUGUAGCGGGUCUGAGAGGAUGAUCCGCCACACUGGGACUGAGACACGGCCCAGACUCCUACGGGAGGCAGCAGUGGGGAAUAUUGGACAAUGGGGGGAACCCUGAUCCAGCCAUGCCGCGUGUGUGAAGAAGGCCUUUUGGUUGUAAAGCACUUUAAGCGAGGAGGAGGCUUGCCUGGUUAAUACCUGGGCUAAGUGGACGUUACUCGCAGAAUAAGCACCGGCUAACUCUGUGCCAGCAGCCGCCGUAACAC